GAAAGCCAGGGGAGCAAACGGGAUUAGAUACCCCGGUAGUCCUGGCUGUAAACGAUGAACACUUGGUGUGGGGGGUGAGAAAGUCCCUCUGUGCCGCAGACAACUCGUUAAGUGUUCCGCCUGGGGAGUACGGCCGCAAGGCUGAAACUCAAAGGAAUUGACGGGGGCCCGCACAAGCGGUGGAGCAUGUGGUUUAAUUCGACGCAACGCGAAGAACCUUACCGGGGUUUGAACUGCGCCGGCGACCUGCAGAGAUGCGGGGUUCCUUCGGGACUGGCGCAGAGGUGCUGCAUGGCUGUCGUCAGCUCGUGUCGUGAGAUGUUGGGUUAAGUCCCGCAACGAGCGCAACCCUUGUCUGUAGUUGCCAACAGGUAGAGCUGGGCACUCUACGGAGACUGUCGGCGAAAAGCCGGAGGAAGGUGGGGAUGACGUCAAGUCCUCAUGGCCUUUAUGUCCCGGGCUACACACGUGCUACAAUGGGCGGUACAGAGGGAAGCAAACCUGCGAAGGCAAGCGGAUCCCAGAAAGCCGUUCACAGUUCGGAUUGCAGUCUGCAACUCGACUGCAUGAAGGCGGAAUCGCUAGUAAUCGCGGAUCAGAACGCCGCGGUGAAUACGUUCCCGGGCCUUGUACACACCGCCCGUCACAUCACGAAAGUGGGUUGUACUAGAAGUCGUCGGGCCAACCCUUCGGGGAGGCAGACGCCCACGGUAUGAUCCAUGAUUGGGGUGAAGUCGUAACAAGGUAACC
rnacentral:rRNA from 1 species